UAACUAAAUUUAAAGUAGUGUGUGCC
rnacentral:piRNA from 1 species